rnacentral:rRNA from 1 species
AUUGAACGCUGGCGGCAGGCCUAACACAUGCAAGUCGAACGCGUGGCGGACGGGUGAGUAAUGUCUGGGAAACUGCCUGAUGGAGGGGGAUAACUACGGGAAACGGUAGCUAAUACCGCAUCCCAUCAGAUGAGCCCAGAUGGGAUUCGCUAGGUGGUGGGGUAAAGGCUCACCAAGACGACGAUCCCUAGCUGGUCUGAGAGGAUGACCAGCCAAACUGGAAAUGAGACACGGUCGCGACUCCGACGGGAGGCAGCAGUGGGGAAUAUUGCACAAUGGGGGCAAGCCUGAUGCAGCCAUGCCGGGUGUAUGAAGAAGGCCGUCGGGUUGUAAAGUACUUUCAGUGGUGAGGCGUUACCCGCAGAAGAAGCACCGGCUAACUCCGUGCCAGCCGCCGCGGUAAUAC